rnacentral:tRNA from 1 species
GGAGAGAGAGCUCAGUGGUUGAGCACAGGACUUGCAUACCUGACAACUCAGGUCAAUCCCUGGCAUUCCA